UGAGGAAUAUUGGUCAAUGGACGGAAGUCUGAACCAGCCAAGUAGCGUGCAGGAUGACGGCCCUAUGGGUUGUAAACUGCUUUUGUAUGGGGAUAAAGUUAGGGACGUGUCCCUAUUUGCAGGUACCAUACGAAUAAGGACUGGCUAAUUCCGUGCCAGCAGCCGCGGUAAUACGGAAGGUCCAGGCGUUAUCCGGAUUUAUUGGGUUUAAAGGGAGCGUAGGCUGGAGAUUAAGUGUGUUGUGAAAUGUAGACGCUCAACGUCUGAAUUGCAGCGCAUACUGGUUUCCUUGAGUACGCACAACGUUGGCGGAAUUCGUCGUGUAGCGGUGAAAUGCUUAGAUAUGACGAAGAACUCCGAUUGCGAAGGCAGCUGACGGGAGCGCAACUGACGCUUAAGCUCGAGGGUGCGGGUAUCAAACAGG
rnacentral:rRNA from 1 species